UACGGGGGGGGCAAGCGUUGUUCGGAAUUACUGGGCGUAAAGGGCUCGUAGGCGGCCAACUAAGUCAGACGUGAAAUCCCUCGGCUUAACCGGGGAACUGCGUCUGAUACUGGAUGGCUGGAGUUUGGGAGAGGGAUGCGGAAUUCCAGGUGUAGCGGUGAAAUGCGUAGAUAUCUGGAGGAACACCGGUGGCGAAGGCGGCAUCCUGGACCAAUACUGACGCUGAGGAGCGAAAGCCAGGGGAGCAAAGCGGG
rnacentral:rRNA from 1 species